UACGAAGGGGGGCUAGCGUUGUUCGGAAUCACUGGGCGUAAAGCGCACGUAGGCGGAUCUUUUAAGUCAGGGGUGAAAUCCCGAGGCUCAACCUCGGAACUGCCUUUGAUACUGGGGAUCUCGAGUCCGGGGAGAGGUGAGUGGAACUGCGAGUGUAGAGAUGAAAUUCGUAGAUAUUCGCAAGAACACCAGUGGCGAAGGCGGCUCACUGGCCCGGAACUGACGCUGAGGUGCGAAAGCGUGGGGAGCAAACAGG
rnacentral:rRNA from 1 species